rnacentral:rRNA from 1 species
UACGUAGGGUGCAAGCGUUGUCCGGAAUUAUUGGGCGUAAAGAGCUCGUAGGCGGUCUGUCGCGUCUGCUGUGAAAACUCAGGGCUUAACCCUGAGCUUGCAGUGGGUACGGGCAGACUAGAGUGCGGUAGGGGAGACUGGAAUUCCUGGUGUAGCGGUGAAAUGCGCAGAUAUCAGGAGGAACACCGGUGGCGAAGGCGGGUCUGGGCCUUACCUGACGCUGAGGAGCGAAAGCGUGGGGAGCAAACAGG